CUAGCCACCUUGUCUAACUGCAGCUACUCCCUAGCCACCUUGUCUAACUGCAGCUACUCCCUAGCCACCUUGUCUAACUGCAGCUACUCCCUCCAAACACUCUCCAAGGGAAAACUUACCAUUACUAUUUUUUUCUAUAUUGUGUGUCUUUAAAUGUGAUGUCUUAAAACCGAAAUGGGGGAGGUGGAAUUUGUAUUGGUUUUUAUUGUUUGUUAAGGCCUUGAGUUUGACUAGAGCAGAUGUAUAUUUGCCAUGUUCUGAAAUGUGUGGAGUAGGAGAGAAAAGAAAAAGUCAUUUAAAACAUUUGGACAAAAACGAGAGCAAGGGGGUGUAUGCACUGCGUGUACAUAUUUUCCUACCUUAUCAGGACCAGAAUGUCCGGACAAGUCACCAAAAUGUCCUGACAAGGUAACAAAACAAGAACAUGUUUGAAAAGUCAGGACUGAAUUUGUUAAAAUUCAAUUUUAGGCUUAAGGGUUAGUUUUAUGGUUUGGGGUUAAGGUUAGGGUUACGUUUAAGGUUAGGUUUAGGUUUAGGGUUAAAGAUUUGUGGUUAAGGUUAGGGUUAAGGUUAGGUUAAGGGCAGAGUAUGCGAGUGAAGUGGAACGGAGCUGGAGCGUAGCGAGGAGCGGAGCGUGCUCAAUUUGACUGUUGCGCAGAGCGCGAUUCUCAAAGGCUGGAGCGUCAUCCUUCUUGCCCGCUCCAAUUUUGUAGCGCUCAUUCUCCAGUAGCGCUCAUUCUCCAGUAGCGCUCAUUUCACUAGCCCAGGGCAUGCCCGAGUAAGCAUGCAUGUUUAGUCUACUUGUGUGCUGCUAUAACCCCUUUCUUUAGCUACUGACAGCUGCAAAAUCAAGGUGACUUACAAAGAUGACGGCCUAGAGCAAGAGAGGGAGUGCAGUGAUGUAGUGUGCAGUGAUGUGUCCACAACUAAAGAAUCAUUGUGGAAUCUGAAAAGACACAUAUCCCGAAACUAUGAUGGUGUACUUAUGACGUGCACAUGCUAAAAGAAAGGAAAGAGUGGGUAGCUCAUUAAGUGUGUCAUUGUAGCAAGGUAUUUAUAAGCUAGAAAUCAGAUCUCUUAAAAGUUUCCUUCAUUUUUGCUUUAUUCAUACAAUAGUCCCUACUUGAUUUUGUCCCAAAAGGCCUGGCAUAUUCCAACUGUCAAGGAGCAUUUCGUUUUGGUUGGGUUAUUUUGCCUAAAAAACUUUAGGCAGUGGUGGAAAAGUACCAUAUUGUCAUACUUGAGUAAAAGUAAAGAUACCUUAAUAGAAAAUGACUAAAGUAAAAGUGAAGUCACCCAGUAAAAUAGUACUUGAGUAAACGUUUUUUUUAAAGUAUUUGGUUUUUAAAAUACUUAAGUAUCAAAAGUAAAAGUAUAAAUAAUUUCAAAUUGAUUCUAUUAUUAUAUGAUUAUGAUUAUAUUAUGAUUAUUUUUUAAUUUACAGAUAGCCAGGGGCUAUCCUCAACACUCAGACAUAAUUUACAAAUUAAGCAUGUCUAUUUAGUGAGUCCGCCAGAUCAGAGGCAGUAGCGAUGACCAGGAAUGGUAUCUUGAUAAACGCAUAAAUUUGACAAUAUCCUGUCCUGCUCAGCAUUCAAAAUAUAGUGAGCACUUUUGGGUGUCAGGGAAAAUGUAUGGAUUAAAAAGAACCUGAUUGUCUUUCGUAAAAGUAAAAGCUGUCAAAAAUAGAAAUUGUAAAGUACAGAUACCCAAAAAAACUUCUUAACUUCUUAAGUACUUUACACCACUGCCUUUAGGCCUACCUAUGGAAAAAAUAAAUAAACUCUGCCCAGCCUAGCAAGGGUGGACAAAAGGAUGUUUACCAUCCACAGUGGCUUUGAAGCACGGAUAGCAUGUUCUCCGCUGCUGGCCUGCUGUCCAGGCACCUGACCCUGAAGGAACAGACUCUGGCUAAACUGGCAUUUUUCGUUUAAUUUGUAAUUAAUUCUAAGGCACAGACGAUAUGCGCAAUUUAUAGACUAUAAUGGUAUAAUACAACAAAAUGUGGAGCGCUUAACGUCCCUGUCUCCCUACCAGCCAAGUGUGUCGCAUUCGCAAAUGCUUCACAAUGCAUUUCUUUGUAGGCUAUAGCCUUGAAAUAAUUGAAAUAAUAUAGCUUAAGUACUUAAUUUCCGUUCCUUAUUAGGCUCCCUGUCUGGCUCCUGAUCUAUUUCGAGUGUUUAUCAGUGUUGUAGUACUCGAGUCUCAAGUCCGGUCUCGAGACCACGUAUUGAGUGUCUUGGUCUUGUCUCGGUGUCGGAUACAUCUGUACUCUGUCUUGACUCGGUCUAGGACAGUGAGGACUCAAAUUUCUCCCGAGACCAGCGAAGUAAAAAAAACGAGUAAUAUCAGCUUCAUUCAAUCAGCGCAUAAAUCUGCUUCGCCAGGCCAAAUAUACACUCAUUUCUUGAAACAUUAGUACAGUAUGUUAACAUACUUUAUAUCUAUUACAGACAUGUUUGCGCAGUGGUGACCCUAUAGGCCUUCGGUGUGUGACAGGUUCGUGAUUCUGAAAGGACAGCAACCGUAAUACCAGGCUAUAUGCAGGUAUAAACCGUAUACCCACUUUUUUUCAGUGGGCAUUGUGUAUCCUGACUGCUUAUUAAUCCCUACUGGUGCAUAAGAAAGUAGUGUAGUGGAGGUACACGAUGUAUCUAUUAUGUGGUACAAUAGAGAAAUCAUGCACAAAGUAGCCUACACAAUCGCAAGUGUUGGUUAGUAGGCAAUUUUUGAUGCGCAAUUGUCAUCAUGUUCUGCUUGCAUCAGGGGCAUAGACAUGGAUGGGCCUGGGUGGACAGAACCACCCACUGGGGAAUCAGGCCCACGGGCUCACCCAAUCAGAUUGAUGUAGUUUAAGCAUUGUUGUGGACUUAGACUUUACAUUUUUGUAUUUUUUUUUUCCAAUUUUGAGAGUGAAAAUAUGAAACAUCUAUUGGAAAACACAGGUUGCCAUUCCUUCGCUGGGCGGGGCGAUUGGGAACUUUGUUGCAAAAUGUGAGUAUACCCACUUCUCCAGGUACCACUACGCCACUGCUUAGGGCUGAUGGAAAGACAGCAGUCACACACAGCAUGGUGAUAAAGGAUAAGCAGUCCAUAAACCCGGACAUAAUAAGCCAGUAGGUCCCAAUCAUAAGGCUACAAAACACAACGAUUAAGCAUUUAUUAAUUGAUAACACCUGCUGCAACUGCUGCAAAUUAGCCGACAACAAAUGCUAGCUAGCUAGACCGUGGGAAAACUACUGCUCGCUAUUGCGUAGUGACCUGUUGGGCCGUCAAGAAGGCAAAAGUUUCCAUACAUUUUGGAAAAAAUGGUCCCAACUAUUAAGUCAAAAUGUGAUUGGUUUAUUCUACUGUCACUCCAAAUUUGUGCCCUAAUACAGUUGAAUGGUGGAUGCAUUUAUCUAUAUUCUGAUAGCCAAGGACUGAUUUAGCUAGCUAGAUUUAUCUCCCCAGAGACCAGCAAAGAGAAUCCUUAUUGGAUCUUUUUUUCUAUUCAGUGUUAACCCUUUCUUUUUCAACAAAACUAAAAAGAUUAAAUCAGAACAUCAUUGAUAAUAAUAUUAUUAUCAUUAUUAUUAUAUUAUUAUAAUUAUUAUUUUAUAAAUCCUUAGCCCUUCUCUGAAGGCGUUGAAGGCCCAUUGUGCUCCACUGUGUUUGGGUUAGUAAUAUAUGUAGAGUGCCUCUAUUUUCCUCAACAUGCAUUUCUUCACUAUUCGGAAUGUCUAAAGAAUCCACAUGUUAUUCUGAAAUAUGAACACAGAAAUACUGGACAUUCUGAACUCUUAUUAUAUUGGUGAUUUGACAAAAUUGCAAUCAUGGUCUCACAUUUUUCUGGUCUCGGUCUUGACUCGGUCUUGGACCCCUUGUCACACUCCUGGUCUUGGUCUUGAAUCGAUCUCGCUUUAGGUGGUCUCGAACACAACACUGGUUUAUAUGCUGUUUAAUGUGACAUACAGUCUAUUUGAAAUGACUUCUUACAUUCACCCUUUCAUUUUUAUUAUAAUACUUUUCAUUCCAAUCAUAUGGUUUGGUUUCAGUACUUCAAAACCAAAUGGUAGGUCCAAGCAGUCACAAAAAUAGAUGGGUGUUGGUUAAAUUGUGAUUUUAAUGAAUGGAGCAAAUUUGGUGCAGCAGUUUUCUUUCUGGUGAGAGAGGAGCGUUUUUUUAAGGGGGUGGUUGGAAAGAACGUGGAGCUGUGUGCAAGCACAAUUCCAUGAGCAGUGAGCGGGAUUUCCUACCGCUCAACUCCGCUCACAUACUCUGGUUAAGGGUUAGUUUAGGGGUUAGGGAAAAUAGGAUUUUGAAUUGGAAUACAUUUUUACUCCCAAAAAGUAUUGAAAAUUGUGUGCAUGUGGGUGUGUGUGUACAUGGUUUCCAAUAUUAUCAGGAUCAUAAUGUCCUAACAAUUCCAGAAUGACCUGAUAAGGUAGGAAAACAAGGACAUUUUUGAAAAGUCAGGACUUUUUUCAUGUCCUGAAUUUGCUAAAAUGCUAUUUUCGGCUUAAGGGUUAGGUUUAGGGGUUAGGGUUUGGGGUUAGGGUUAUGUUUUGUGUGUGCCUGUGUAUGUGUGUUUUUAGUUGUACUAUUCUUGUGGGGACCAGAAGUCCACACAAGGAUAGUAAAACAAGGAACAUUCGGACAAAUGGAAACAUUUAGCCGGUCCCCACAAGGAAAAAGGCUAUUUUAGGGGUUAGGUUUAAGGUUAGGUUUAGGGUUAGGUUUAGGGUUAGGGUUAGGUUUAGGUUUAGGGUUUAGGAUUACAUUUAGGGUUAGGGUUCAGGUUAAGGUUUGGUUUAAGAGGGUUUCUGUUUGUGCUGGUAUCAAACCUUGGGUUGAGCGGGCCUAUUGCAACUUUCUGCUCUGUCUGUAUAUUGCAAGUCAGUGUUAAGGUAAGGGUUAAGGGUAAGGAUUUUGAAUGGGAAUCAAUUGUUUAGGGAGGGCUACUGUGUGUGUGGGGAGGGCUCUGUGCGUGUGUGCAUGUGUGUGCGCAUGACCCCACUGCUCUCACCUGUAUGUGUAUGUGUGACAUUAGCAUGAGCAAUUAGGGUUGAGUCCUCGGUGUGUGUGCUGUAUAUAUUGGUGAUCUAGCAUAUCACACUCGCCCUUUCUCUCAGAGCUGACUUACUUGUGUACCUAUUUGUAUGAAAGAGAUGAUUGUUCCUCUCCUGUCCGUCCUGUCCUCUCUAACCGAAUGGCCAUUGUGAAUACUGAAUACCUUUGAUGCCAUUUUGAAACUAUCCGUCUCUCUCAACCAGAGUUGACUACUUCAUUUGUCGUGGUUUAUCAUUCAAAGCAGCACCCACAUGAUGCCUGACCUUGAAAUGGGUUUAUUGUUUCUUUUAUUGAGGGUUUAUUGAGGUUUUUUAUAGAUAUAUCGAUGUGUUUUAUCCAAACCCCAAUGUUGUGUUUUGUCUUGUUUUAUGCAUCGUGGACAUGCUAAAACAGAUUGACUGAGGGGAAUAGAGGAAGUCUUAAAUGAACACACAGAUAUUUGAGUCCAUUCCAUUUUGAUACAAAGAUGAUUUUCUUCUGAAUAUGAGGAUAAAACUGUGAUUAGACUUCUAUUUUGAAGGUCUCUGUUCAUUUGAAGUGCAUGUUGGUUUGCUACAGACAGUAUGAAGUUUGUUUUGUUCCUGAUUUGUACCACACAGGCCUCCAUACUUUAUCACCAAAUGGGGGUUUGGUAUGGAAAAUGAAAAUGAAAGUGCAAAGGAAGCUCCUGUACCAGUCGACCAAACAUGAUUGACUGAAAGUGUUUAUUGAGCUGUUGGGGUUUGACGCUCUAUGAUAAUUAUGUCUUGUCGUGACUGAUAGCUCAGCUAUCACCGUAGCUAGAACACUCUCAGCGCUUGGCGGGGAUGGAAUCCUGUAACCAUUCCAAAUCAGUACAACGAAAUCAAUGCAAAUACAUUGAAUGACACUUUAAAAUCCAGCGAGCUGAUUUAAUGAUGUUCUAUUUCUCGGCUGUGAGAUCUCGGGAGGUUUUAUCGAGAACUUGUCGUUUCCGGUGACGAUUUUCUUUUCCGCUUUUCCGUUUUCCAAGAUGGCUGACGUUGGUGGACUGAACGUGGCUCUUGAGACUGCUGAAGCGAAUGCCACAGCCCCUGCUCCCUACCCCUGCCCCUUUCCCACCACCCGCCCCCAAAUCUGUCCACUUCACCAUCACUGCUUGACUAUGAUGUGACAUAUGCAACAGUUUUUUUGUUUGUUGGUAAAGAUAUGCUUUGUAUCAGAGAGCAGAGAGAGUGGGAGAGAGACAAUAGAGAAACACAAAUACAUAUUUUUUAAAAUAUCAAAUGAUGUUGAAAAAUCUGUCUUUUUUUGUUCAUGUAAAGAGAAAAAAAUAAUUACAAAUGUUGCUAGUACACAUGUGCUGUAAAUUGUUAUUUGGUGUAGUAAAAAUCAUCAUGGUUUAGUCGUUUUUAAAAAUCAUUUUCACCGAAGGUUCUAGUGUCUUAUUUUAGUUAGCCUUCUGCUCCACCGCAUUUUAAGAACCGGCUUAAUAUUUUUCUAAGAGAAAAUGCAUGCGUUUGUUGGAGAACUUUGGGUUUAGUGUUGCACAAGGACAGGCGUUGUCUCUGGAUACAUCCCAACGGCACCCUAUUCCCUAUAUAGUGCACUACUUUUGAUCAGGGCACAUAGGACUCUGGUCAAAAGUAGUGCACUAUAUAGGGAGUAGGGUGCCAUUUGGGACAUAGCCUCUGUCUUUCAGUUUCCAUGCCUAAGUGAAAAACUUUUAGGGGUGAAGGAGUGUACUUAGGUCUUGUACAUGAGAUUAUGUAAAUUGAAGAAAUUAAAAGGAUGAUUAUAUGAUGAUUACUUUUGAUCUGUUACAGCUUGUGUUGACAAAAAUACUGUAUAUGAAUUAUUGAAAAGAUAUUAAAAAAAUACAAUUCAAUUGUUUAGUCCGGUGCAGUGUCUAUUAGUAAAUAGAACAAAUCAUUGUCCUAUUAAAAUACUUAUAUAAGAC
ensembl:lncRNA